rnacentral:sRNA from 1 species
UGUGUGUGUGAAUCUGAUGUUCUUACAGGGAGGCUUUGACAACAAUGCAGUGGCAACAGCAAACAUUCUGGAGUCAUCAUCUCAGGAAGUUGGUGGGAAACCCUACUAUUACUUGUCUGUGUUGACAAGAACGGCUGAUGGAGACGAAGGUGGGAAGCAUCAGCUGAUCACAGCAACCGUGAAUGGAGGGAAGCUUUACAUCUGCAAAGCACAAGCUGGAGACAAGAGGUGGUUCAAGGGAGCCAGGAAAUUUGUCGAGAGCGCAGCCACUUCUUUCAGUGUUGCUUGAGUGAAAGCAACACAACGUAACAAUGCUCUGCUUGCUUUCUUCAUUUGUCUCUUGUAAAAAAUGGAAAAUGAAACUGAGCUUUUGAGAACUAUCAAGAUGAUGUUACCUUUUCGGCAUCACUUGUGUACCUAUGAUAACAGACUCGUUUUCCAAGUUUUCUUAAAAAACAACUAUAUUCAAUAGAUAUUUUCUCAAAUU